rnacentral:rRNA from 1 species
AGAGUUUGAUCCUGGCUCAGGAUGAACGCUAGCGGCAGGCCUAAUACAUGCAAGUCGAGCGGCAAGUCGAGGAGUAAUCUAAGACCUAGAGCGGCGCACGGGUGCGUAACGCGUAUGCAACCUACCUUAUACUGGGGGAUAGCCCGGAGAAAUCUGGAUUAAUACCCCAUGGCACAUAUUGAGGGCAUCUGAGAUAUGUUAAAGAUUUAUUGGUAUAAGAUGGGCAUGCGUCUGAUUAGCUAGUUGGCGGUGUAACGGACCACCAAGGCGACGAUCAGUAGGGGUUCUGAGAGGAAGGUCUCCCACACUGGCACUGAGAUACGGGCCAGACUCCUACGGGAGGCAGCAGUAGGGAAUAUUGGGCAAUGGUCGGAAGACUGACCCAGCCAUGCCGCGUGCAGGAAGAAGGCCCUCUGGGUUGUAAACUGCUUUUAUCUGGGAAGAAAAAGGCCAUGCGUGGCAAAUUGCCGGUACCAGAUGAAUAAGCACCGGCUAACUCCGUGCCAGCAGCCGCGGUAAUACGGAGGGUGCAAGCGUUGUCCGGAUUUAUUGGGUUUAAAGGGUGCGUAGGCGGCUAUUUAAGUCAGCGGUGAAAGACUUCAG